rnacentral:rRNA from 1 species
CCUACGGGGGGCUGCAGUGGGGAAUAUUGGACAAUGGGGGGAACCCUGAUCCAGCCAUGCCGCGUGUGUGAAGAAGGCCCUCGGGUUGUAAAGCACUUUCAGUGAGGAAGAACGCCUGGUGGUUAAUACCCAUCAGGAAAGACAUCACUCACAGAAGAAGCACCGGCUAACUCCGUGCCAGCAGCCGCGGCAAUACGGAGGGUGCGAGCGUUAAUCGGAAUUACUGGGCGUAAAGCGCGCGUAGGUGGCUUGAUAAGCCGGUUGUGAAAGCCCCGGGCGCAACCUGGGAACGGCAUCCGGAACUGUCCAGCUAGAGUGCAGGAGAGGAAGGUAGAAUUCCCGGUGUAGCGGUGAAAUGCGAAGAGAUCGGGAGGAAUACCAGUGGCGAAGGCGGACUUCUGGACUGACACUGACACUGAGGUGCGAAAGCGUGGGUAGCAAACAGGAUUAGAUACCCCAGUAGUC